UCAAGCGAAUAAGCGCACACGGUGGAUGCCUUGGCGGUCAGAGGCGAUGAAGGACGUGGCAGCCUGCGAAAAGUAUCGGGGAGCUGGCAACAAGCUUUGAUCCGGUAAUGUCCGAAUGGGGAAACCCACCCGCUUGCGGGUAUCCUGCAGUGAAUACAUAGCUGCUGGAAGCGAACCUGGUGAACUGAAAUAUCUAAGUAACCAGAGGAAAAGAAAUCAACCGAGAUUCCGUAAGUAGCGACGAGCGAACGCGGACUAGCCCUUAAGCUGAUUUGGUUCUAGGAAAACGCUCUGGAAAGAGCGGCCAUAGAAGGUGAUAGCCCUGUAUCUGAAAGGGCCAUUUCAGUGAAGACGAGUAGGGCGGGGCACGUGAAACCCUGUCUGAACAUGGGGGGACCAUCCUCCAAGGCUAAAUACUACUGACCGACCGAUAGUGAACCAGUACCGUGAGGGAAAGGCGAAAAGAACCCCGGAGAGGGGAGUGAAAUAGAACCUGAAACCGUGUGCGUACAAGCAGUAGGAGCUCCGCAAGGAGUGACUGCGUACCUUUUGUAUAAUGGGUCAGCGACUUACUGUUCGUGGCAAGCUUAACCGUAUAGGGGAGGCGAAGGGAAACCGAGUCUGAUAAGGGCGCAUAGUCGCGGGCAGUAGACCCGAAACCGGGUGAUCUAGUCAUGCCCAGGGUGAAGGUGCGGUAACACGCACUGGAGGCCCGAACCCACUCCCGUUGCAAAGGUAGGGGAUGAGGUGUGAUUAGGAGUGAAAAGCUAAUCGAACCCGGAGAUAGCUGGUUCUCCUCGAAAGCUAUUUAGGUAGCGCCUCAUAUGUAUCCUCUCGGGGGUAGAGCACUGUUAUGGCUAGGGGGUCAUCGCGACUUACCAAACCAUUGCAAACUCCGAAUACCGAGACGGACUGUAUGGGAGACACACGGCGGGUGCUAACGUCCGUCGUGAAAAGGGAAACAACCCAGACCCACAGCUAAGGUCCCAAAUUUUGUGCUAAGUGGAAAACCAUGUGGAAAGGCACAGACAGCCAGGAGGUUGGCUUAGAAGCAGCCACCCUUUAAAGAAAGCGUAAUAGCUCACUGGUCGAGUCGGUCUGCGGGGAAGAUUUAACGGGGCUAAGCACAGAACCGAAGCUUGGGGUGCAUACUUUGUAUGCGCGGUAGAGGAGCGUUCCGUAAGCCGUUGAAGGUGGAUUGAGAAGUCUGCUGGAGGUAUCGGAAGUGCGAAUGCUGACAUGAGUAACGAUAAUGCGGGUGAAAAACCCGCACGCCGAAAGCCCAAGGUUUCCUUGCGCAACGUUAAUCGGCGCAGGGUGAGUCGGCCCCUAAGGCGAGGACGAAAGUCGUAGUCGAUGGGAAGCAGGUUAAUAUUCCUGCACCUCGCGUAAGUGCGAUGGAGGGACGGAGAAGGUUAGGUGUACCAGGCGUUGGUUGUCCUGGGGAAAGGCGGUAGGUUUGGAUCUUUGGCAAAUCCGGGAUCCUUUAAGACCGAGCACCGAGACGAGCCUUUAUGGCGAAGUCACUGAUACCACGCUUCCAGGAAAAGCUCCUAAGCUUCAGCUUACGCAGACCGUACCGUAAACCGACACAGGUGGGUAGGAUGAGAAUUCUCAGGCGCUUGAGAGAACUCGGGUGAAGGAACUAGGCAACAUGGCACCGUAACUUCGGGAGAAGGUGCACCCUUUUUGGUGGCUCGUGCGAGCUAUAGCUGAAGAGGGUCGCAGUAACCAGGCCGCUGCGACUGUUUAUCAAAAACACAGCACUCUGCAAACACGAAAGUGGACGUAUAGGGUGUGACGCCUGCCCGGUGCUGGAAGGUUAAUUGAUGGGGUCAGCCGCAAGGCGAAGCUCUUGAUCGAAGCCCCAGUAAACGGCGGCCGUAACUAUAACGGUCCUAAGGUAGCGAAAUUCCUUGUCGGGUAAGUUCCGACCUGCACGAAUGGCGUAACGACAGCGGCGCUGUCUCCACCCGAGACUCAGUGAAAUUGAAAUCGCUGUGAAGAUGCAGCGUUCCCGUGGCAAGACGGAAAGACCCCGUGAACCUUUACUAUAGCUUUACACUGAACGUUGAGUUCGUCUGUGUAGGAUAGGUGGGAGGCUAUGAAACCAUGGCGCUAGCUGUGGCGGAGCCAUCCUUGAAAUACCACCCUGUCGUGCUUGACGUUCUAACCUGGGCCCAUUAUCUGGGUCGGGGACCGUGUAUGGUGGGUAGUUUGACUGGGGCGGUCUCCUCCUAAAGAGUAACGGAGGAGCUCGAAGGUACGCUCAGCGCGGUCGGACAUCGCGCACUGUGUGCAAAGGCAUAAGCGUGCUUGACUGCAAGAUCGACGGAUCAAGCAGGUAGGAAACUAGGACUUAGUGAUCCGGUGGUUCUGUAUGGAAGGGCCAUCGCUCAACGGAUAAAAGGUACUCCGGGGAUAACAGGCUGAUACCGCCCAAGAGUUCAUAUCGACGGCGGUGUUUGGCACCUCGAUGUCGGCUCAUCACAUCCUGGGGCUGUAGUCGGUCCCAAGGGUAUGGCUGUUCGCCAUUUAAAGUGGUACGCGAGCUGGGUUCAGAACGUCGUGAGACAGUUCGGUCCCUAUCUGCCAUGGGCGUUGGAGAUUUGAGAGGGGCUGCUCCUAGUACGAGAGGACCGGAGUGGACGAACCUCUGGUGUUCCGGUUGUCACGCCAGUGGCAUUGCCGGGUAGCUAUGUUCGGAAGCGAUAACCGCUGAAAGCAUCUAAGCGGGAAGCGCGCCUCAAGAUGAGAUCUCCCGGGGCACAAGCCCCCUGAAGGAACCAUGUAGACUACGUGGUUGAUAGGUCAGGUGUGUAAGUACAGCAAUGUAUUGAGCUAACUGAUACUAAUGAUCCGUGCGGCUUGACCA
rnacentral:rRNA from 1 species